UCCUCACUGGCAGAUAAUGUGUUAAAAUUUAGAGUUUUAAAAUGAAUUUUUCGUAAAGAG
rnacentral:tRNA from 1 species